CAUACAUGCAAAUACUCAUUUUCAUAUUCUUUUUCAUUAAAGGUUAUUGUAAGAUAUUGAGUAUAGUUCCCUGUGCUCUGCAGAAGAAAUUUGUUUUUUAAUCUAUUUUUGUAUAUAGUGGCUAACAUUUGCAAAUUUCAAACUGCCAAAUUUAUCCCUUCCUACCCUCUUUUUCCCCAGUAACCAUGAGAUUGUUGACCAUGUCUGUGAGUCUGUUUCUGUUUUGUAGAUGAGUUCAUCAGUGCUCCUAGGGCCUUUCUUAAGCCUCUCAAGCCAACAGAAGGGACCAAUGAUGUCUCGGUACAUCCUAAUACCAAGAUAAUGCAUCUCCCUUCCCCAGCCCAUCAUAACCGGCAGAGGUGGGCUGAGCUGAACACACGCCACGGGAACAGGUUGCCGCAGAAGAAAACUACAUUUUGUGAAGCGUGGUGCAAAAGCAGUGACAGCGUUUCGAUUGGAGAAGAAUUCAGAAGCUGCUUCUGCAGAUAAAAUUACAGUGGAACUGGCUUUCCUAUUUAACUGGCCUCCAGAUAGAGUCACCCCAAAUCUCCAGCUAUUGACUUUUGAAACACCGCUUACGGAACAGGUACCUGGAAAAACAUGCUUCUGUUGAAUUUCUUUAUAAAAAGAAAGGCCAGGAGGGCAUUGAGUCUGUACCCAUUUAGCCAAGCACGCUACCGCUAACAUUAAAGGUCAACCUCUUACAAAAAGCCAUUGAGAUUAGACAUUUUUGGUAAAAUCUUUUGGUAAAGAAGCAUAUGAACUGGGGGAGUGGGGUGAUUAUCCACU